GUACAGCUGGUACCUGAUGGGGAUAUGUGCAAUGGCUGUUGCAUUGCACAGGAGUUUGUCACAGCGUUGGUCCUCUUGAGUUCCAGCCACUCAGACAGAGGCCCUUUUGGAGAGUAUCUCCAGACAGAAGAAUUCAGAUGAUGAUUGUCGAAACCAAGGUUUGUGUCCCGCCACCCCCUCCUCCCUGGAGACUGGUGUCACCCACAAUAGCUUCGUUUUGAAAAGAAGCAACUUGACCACAGCAAAACUGGAACGAGUCUCCCUGCACAGAGCCAGCCUGGUCUGUAGCCUCCCCCAGCAUCAGAGUAUGUAUUUGAGUCGAUGUCAAUUAGGACAGAACUGGUGCAAGUCCGACAUGGAGCUGUUCUGCAGUACAUUUGCAAACCCCUUUGAAAAGUAACACUCCGAGGUCAACUGGUGCAAGUCUGGACAGAGAAACCUGGGUACCAUUUUAGCUGGGUUAUAGAAACAUUCCUGGGUAAAAGAUCUAUUAACAGGUAAAGCAAUAGGUCACCUUUUCUGUCAUACAACACCAAUAGCAUAUUAAUGGAGCUCACACAACCAACUGGGCAGGCGGCAGGGAUGCAGUCACGCUUGUAACACAGAAUAACAUAGAUUUUUCUUUGUUCUAACCCAAAGCACCUUGGAAAUUUGGCCUUAUUGAGGUCAAUAGAAUGGGUUUUCUCCUGGAUUUUGUCCUGACUCUUCUCAGAGGUAAACUGAGUUCGGAGAGAUACCUAUGGUCUCACCAGAGGAGUUUCAGAGUGAUGUUUGCUGUCCUGUUUUAUGCAUAACGAUACAUGAAAUGAUCAUACAGCUUCCUUCAGCCCUUCCUAUCCCCCCUUCCACCCUUUCCUGCAAGCAUUUGUCUUUGUGUUACUCUGAAGAUCAGGGGAUCAGAGCAUCACUUGUAAACCAAGCAGCACAUGCAUUGGGUGAGGUUAAUGUUGAACACGGCAGGUCAUCUCUCAAGCUAGUGUGACCUUGGUUCAAAUCCUGCUAUAUUUCAAUUGUUAUGGAUUUUCAGUGCCUCUUUUGUGAAUGGGAACCUCUGAAAUGAAAUAAUAUGAGGUGCUAUAGAUCUGUUUGCUGGCAAGGUUAUCACAAAGGCAGGCAGGAUGGUUUACCUCUGAGAGGAAGCACUAUAAAGCCUCCAAGGUCUGUGAAAUACUGCCACUAUAGACAUGCAUCACUGAUGUUUAGGGUCAAGUUUUCAACCUGACCCUCAGACCAGCUGAAGAAUGCAACUUUAUUAUCGUGUGAUCGCUCCAUCGUUCACGUGAGUGAUGCAUGAAAGCCCAAGCAGCCCAUGCGCAGUGAAGUGGUGUGCAGGGAGUAGCAGCGCUACCCAAGACAGCGUUUCAAGGACAUACUCAGGACUUACUUGUCCACAUACAGUUUACCACUGAUUUUCUGCUCUCAGCUGUAAAGAGGCAGCUACAGACUCAAUAUACAGAGUGACUCAAUGGACAGAGGUGUUCUGGACCACAAACCAGGGACCACCCUAGAGAGAAGCACAUGGUGAAGGAGGUGACAGCAGCUCGUGUUUCGAGCAGCGCUGGAAUUCAGGCACUAUGGAAAAGAGUAGAAAACCUGAAAAACCCAAGUCACAAUAAAAUACCAUUGAUAGCUGGGCUGGUUUUGUAUUUUUCAAGUGCCCAAUGGGAUUAUAUCCAAGCUCACAAUGGAAUGACAUAAACCAUGCACUCACCAUUAAUGGAGCAAAAUGAUUGAUUUUUUUGUCCAGUUCAAAACCAUGAUCCUUCUGGGGUAUUUCCUUGAUGCUAUUUGCAGACUCAGCAGUGGGCUGAUGAGGUGAAAAGAAUAGUCCAGCUUGUGCUUGCUUGGCAAGGUUUACCUGACCUUCUGGGAGAUACAGCCAGAGGAAUCAGAGUACUGGCAUUUGUUGGUAGACAUCUACAUGGUUGAACUACAUGUCAUGGCUCUUGGUGUAACCAGGGAGGAAAAUACAGUGAGUUUUUGUUUCAGUUGCAGGCUUCUAUUUAAAAUGGAAAUCUUACUCCACCACAAGCAAUGUAGAGUACGUUUCAAACCCUUGGGUUUGACUGUGUCUAGUUGAGAUCAGUAAUACUCAUGCGAGGAACAUGUUUUAUCCCAGGGUAUUCAUGCUCCUAUACAGAAGACAGAAGAAGCCAAGAUUUCCUUUCAGGUGUUUAGAGCUGCAGAUUUCAAUGAGAAAGCUCUUCACCAGCAUUAAAAAGGACAAUGAAAUAGUGUAGUGAGGGGCUGAUUGCUGCUCCAUGGGGAGCUCCUGCACACAUUAUAGACUAUCUGCCUCACGUGAUAAUGACAGACAAGUAGAUGACCUUUAUAUGCUAAUGAUUUGGCUCCUCGAUGAAUUCAUCCUAUGUGAUACAGGUAACUUGUCUUUACUCAGUGAUGGAUCAUGUCAUGAGAUCCCAGAGCUUUUGUGUGUCAGUUAAUGUUCUGUCAACACAAGCCCCUGAGAGGUUGUCCCAGAUGUCCUGGAUGACAAUUAAGCUCUCUUGAACAAAAGAGAUGGUGCCUAGCGAGUCUGCAGGAGCUGACGCACUUCCUGAAGCACAACUGGUCAUAUCCCAGCAGAAAUCCUUCCUGCGUCUGCUCCAUACCUGCUGCUCAGAGCGUGGAGCUCCAGUGCAAUAGCAGGGUUAAAAGCCUCCAGUAAACUGAACUGGAAAAUAUUGAUCCAAUUUAAAGCAGCAUUACAAAUGCCCAAACCAUUGCAUCCUAGCACUAACUAAUUUUUAAGUAUCUAAUGGUUUUAUCUGCUCUGCUGCACUCCAUAACAUCAAGUGAAUGUGUUGGUGUACACAGCUACUCCAUCACAAACAUUUUGCCACCCUGUACCAGAUACAGACCCUGUAUCUGUCCCACAGUGUCCUCUGGAAUGAGUGUCAUAGAGAAGGAAAUUGCAGAGCCAAACAGGGAGGAUGUGAGAGCAGUUCAGCUGAUGUCCUGCCCAUAAUGUGCUUCUCUGAUAGUGCCCUUUCACUGCAUAGAAAUCAGCAUCCACAGAAUUAUUGUCUCUCCUUUUUAUUGCUCUCACACUGCAUUUUGAAGAGGUUGUAAUGAGA